rnacentral:rRNA from 1 species
CUGUGAGGUUGAGCUAAUCCCAAAAAGCCGGUCUCAGUUCGGAUUGGGGUCUGCAACUCGACCCCAUGAAGUCGGAGUCGCUAGUAAUCGCAGAUCAGCAACGCUGCGGUGAAUACGUUCCCGGGCCUUGUACACACCGCCCGUCAAGUCACGAAAGUUGGUAACACCCGAAGCCGAUGGCCUAACCCGUUUGGGAGGGAGUCGUCGAAGGUGGGAUUGGCGAUUGGGACUAAGUCGUAACAAGGUAUC